CCUGAACUGGGUCACACCUCAUCAAAGUCUCACCUCUAUGCACUGUCUUCCUGGAAACAUGGGCUGACACUGGAACAAAUGUAUUAACCAAAUCAAAGAUCCUCAUCAGAGCUUAUCCACUCAAAUGGAUGCUAUUUCUCCUGCCUCCUGCCUCCUGCCUCCUGCCUCCUGGUCUCAUUGCUCAAAUCCUGCAGGUGGCCUUUUAAAAUAUGCACCAGAGACACAGAGUACCACGCAGGAGCUGAAAAUGUUCCAAAGACUUCUGGGUUCUCUCUCCACUUUUCCCGUCUUUUCAACCCCCUUGCCUGACUUGGAUGAUGCGAUGUUCUGAGGAAUUCCUUAAUCCUAGUCACUCCUCAGUCAGGCACAUCUACGAAA
rnacentral:lncRNA from 1 species